AUUGUCUAUACAUAGUGGCUGUGAGUCGGUCUGGCUAAUUGUCUAUACAUAGUGGCUGUGAGUCGGUGUGGCUAAUAGUCUAUACAUAGUGGCUGUGAGUCGGUGUGGCUAAUAGUCUAUACAUAGUGGCUGUGAGUCGGUGUGGCUAAUUGUCUAUACAUAGUGGCUGUGAGUCGGUCUGGCUAAUUGUCUAUACAUAGUGGCUGUGAGUCGGUCUGGCUAAUUGUCUAUACAUAGUGGCUGUGAGUCGGUCUGGCUAAUAGUCUAUACAUAGUGGCUGUGAGUCGGUCUGGCUAAUAGUCUAUACAUAGUGGCUGUGAGUCGGUCUGGCUAAUAGUCUAUACAUAGUGGCUGUGAGUCGGUCUGGCUAAUAGUCUAUACAUAGUGGCUGUGAGUCGGUGUGGCUAAUUGUCUAUACAUAGUGGCUGUGAGUCGGUCUGGCUAAUAGUCUAUACAUAGUGGCUGUGAGUCGGUGUGGCUAAUUGUCUAUACAUAGUGGCUGUGAGUGUGUGAGAGAUAAGAACACAAUGAUUAGUCCUAAAUGUCCUGAGACAUCACACUGAGACAACAGAACAGAGAAGGUCAGAACAGUACAGAACAGAGCAGAACAGAACAGAACAGAGCAGAGCAGGUCACAACAGAAAAGAACAGAGCAGGUCACAACAGAAAAGAACAGAGCAGAGCAGAACAGAGCAGAACAGAACAGAGCAGAGCAGGUCACAACAGAAAAGAACAGAGCAGAUCAGAACAGGUCAGAACAGAACAGGUCAGAACAGAACAGAAAAGAACAGAGCAGGUCAGAACAGAAAAGAACAGAGCAGAACAGAACAGAGCAGAUCAGAACAGAGCAGGUCACAACAGAAAAGAACAGAGCAGAGCAGAACAGAGCAGAUCAGAACAGAGCAGUGCAGAACAGGUCAGAACAGAACAGAAAAGAACAGAGCAGGUCAGAACAGAAAGGAACAGAGCAGGUCAGAACAGAACAGAACAGGUCAGAACAGAACAGAGCAGAGCAGAGCAAAGCAGAACAAGUCAGAACAGAGCAAAGCAGAACAGAACAGAACAGAGCAGAACAGAACAGGUCAGAACAGGUCAGAACAGAGCAGAACAGAGCAGAGCAGAAAAGGUCAGAACAGGUCAGAACAGAGCAGAGCAGAAAAGGUCAGAACAGGUCAGAACAGAGCAGAGCAGAACAGGUCAGAACAGAACAGAGCAGAACAGAACAGAGCAGAGCAGGUCAGAACAGACCAGAGCAGGUCAGAACAGUGCAGAGCAGUGCAGAGCACAACAGAGCACAACAGAGCAGGUCAGAACAGUGCAGAGCAGAACAGAGCAGAACAGAGCAGAACAGAGCAGGUCAGAACAGUGCAGAGCAGAACAGAGCAGAACAGGUCAGAACAGAGCACAACAGAACAGAGCACAACAGUGCAGAACAGAGACCUUAAUAACUACAGGCUUAUCUCUGACACACAACACCUAAGCUACACUCAUACACAGUCUGACUGUGACACAGGAUUUUAUCAGCGAAACUAAUUCAAAUAUGUCAAUCUCUUACAGAUCCUAAAGUAAACACAGGUAACCUCCAUUUGCACUGUGGUUUCCUUGUUCAUAUGUCUAAGUUCAUGUCAACAUCUCUCAACGUCUAGAUUCCAAACGGUGCCAGUCGGCCCUGAGUGUCAAACAGACCAGGGGACGAGGCCCCGCCGGCUGUCUGAGGAACGGACCAGGGGACGAGGCCCCGCCGGCUGUCUGAGGAACGGACCAGGGGACGAGGCCCCGCCGGCUGUCUGAGGAACGGACCAGGGGACGAGGCCCCGCCGGCUGUCUGAG
rnacentral:lncRNA from 1 species